rnacentral:ncRNA from 2 species
AAAUUAAAUAAUAGUUCAGGUUCCCCGGCUAUGUCGGGGUGAAAAGGGAACCGGGUGUAAAUCCCGGGCGGUCCGGCCACUGUAAGUGGGGAGCGGCUCCCAAAGUGCCACUGUACCGGCACUCAAUGGUUUACUGAUUACAUAAUAAUCACACUAUUUUUGUAUAUACCAUUGGGUGCCAGAUGGGAAGGCGGGAGAUUUGCUAUGAGCCACAAGUCAGGAGACCUGCCUGAACAAAACACGAUAA